GUCGUUAUAUAGCGCAAUGGAUAGCCCGUUGGACUUCUAAUCCAAAGGUCGUGGGUUCGAAUCCCACUUGUCGAUG